rnacentral:sRNA from 1 species
UCGAGGUUUGGAUAUGUUUGUGAAGUGA